UGGGAACGUACCCUUUGGUUUUGGGACAACUCCGGGAAACUGGAGCUAAUACCGGAUACGCCCUUCGGGGGAAAGAUUUAUCGCCAAAGGAUCGGCCCGCGUCUGAUUAGCUAGUUGGUGAGGUAAUGGCUCACCAAAGGCGACGAUCAGUAGCUGGUCUGAGAGGAUGACCAGCCACACUGGGACUGAGACACGGCCCAGACUCCUACGGGAGGCAG
rnacentral:rRNA from 1 species